rnacentral:rRNA from 1 species
CCUACGGGGGGCUGCAGUAAGGAAUAUUGGUCAAUGGACGCAAGUCUGAACCAGCCAUGCCGCGUGGAGGAUGAAGGUCCUCUGGAUUUUAAACUUCUUUUAUUUGGGAAGAAACUCCCGAUUUCCAUCGGGAUUGACGGUACCAGAUGAAUAAGCACCGGCUAACUCCGUGCCAGCAGCCGCGGUAAUACGGAGGGUGCAGGCGUUACCCGGAUUCACUGGUGCGAAGGUGGGCGUGGAUGUCCAGGUAGAAAUCUCCGGGCUUAACCCGGGAACUGCCAUUGAUACUAUUUGUCUUGAAUACUCUGGAGGUGAGCGGAAUAUGUCAUGUAGCGGUGAAAUGCUUAGACAUGACAUAGAACACCCAUUGCGAAGGCAGCUCACUACGGAAAUAUUGACGCUGAGGCACGAAAGCGUGGGGAUCAAACAGGAUUAGAUACCCGUGUAGUC